rnacentral:rRNA from 1 species
GCUCAUCUUCGGAUGGGAGUGGCAGACGGGUGAGUAACACGUGGGAACGUACCCUUCGAUCUGGGAUAACUUCGGGAAACUGGAGCUAAUACCGGAUACGCCCUUUUGGGGAAAGGUUUACUGUCGAAGGAUCGGCCCGCGUCUGAUUAGCUAGUUGGUGGGGUAACGGCCUACCAAGGCGACGAUCAGUAGCUGGUCUGAGAGGAUGAUCAGCCACACUGGGACUGAGACACGGCCCAGACUCCUACGGGAGGCAGCAGUGGGGAAUAUUGGACAAUGGGCGCAAGCCUGAUCCAGCCAUGCCGCGUGAGUGAUGAAGGCCUUAGGGUUGUAAAGCUCUUUUGUCCGGGACGAUAAUGACGGUACCGGAAGAAUAAGCCCCGGCUAACUUCGUGCCAGCAGCCGCGGUAAUACGAAGGGGGCUAGCGUUGCUCGGAAUCACUGGGCGUAAAGGGCGCGUAGGCGGCUUUUUAAGUCGGGGGUGAAAGCCUGUGGCUCAACCACAGAAUUGCCUUCGAUACUGGAAAGCUUGAGUUCGGUAGAGGUUGGUGGAACUGCGAGUGUAGAGGUGAAAUUCGUAGAUAUUCGCAAGAACACCGGUGGCGAA